GCUCAGAUUGAACGCUGGCGGCAGGCCUAACACAUGCAAGUCGAGCGGUAGCACAGAGAGCUUGCUCUCGGGUGACGAGCGGCGGACGGGUGAGUAAUGUCUGGGAAACUGCCUGAUGGAGGGGGAUAACUACUGGAAACGGUAGCUAAUACCGCAUAACGUCGCAAGACCAAAGUGGGGGACCUUCGGGCCUCAUGCCAUCAGAUGUGCCCAGAUGGGAUUAGCUAGUAGGUGGGGUAACGGCUCACCUAGGCGACGAUCCCUAGCUGGUCUGAGAGGAUGACCAGCCACACUGGAACUGAGACACGGUCCAGACUCCUACGGGAGGCAGCAGUGGGGAAUAUUGCACAAUGGGCGCAAGCCUGAUGCAGCCAUGCCGCGUGUGUGAAGAAGGCCUUCGGGUUGUAAAGCACUUUCAGCGGGGAGGAAGGCGGUGAGGUUAAUAACCUCAUCGAUUGACGUUACCCGCAGAAGAAGCACCGGCUAACUCCGUGCCAGCAGCCGCGGUAAUACGGAGGGUGCAAGCGUUAAUCGGAAUUACUGGGCGUAAAGCGCACGCAGGCGGUCUGUCAAGUCGGAUGUGAAAUCCCCGGGCUCAACCUGGGAACUGCAUUCGAAACUGGCAGGCUAGAGUCUUGUAGAGGGGGGUAGAAUUCCAGGUGUAGCGGUGAAAUGCGUAGAGAUCUGGAGGAAUACCGGUGGCGAAGGCGGCCCCCUGGACAAAGACUGACGCUCAGGUGCGAAAGCGUGGGGAGCAAACAGGAUUAGAUACCCUGGUAGUCCACGCCGUAAACGAUGUCGAUUUGGAGGUUGUGCCCUUGAGGCGUGGCUUCCGGAGCUAACGCGUUAAAUCGACCGCCUGGGGAGUACGGCCGCAAGGUUAAAACUCAAAUGAAUUGACGGGGGCCCGCACAAGCGGUGGAGCAUGUGGUUUAAUUCGAUGCAACGCGAAGAACCUUACCUGGUCUUGACAUCCACAGAACUUUCCAGAGAUGGAUUGGUGCCUUCGGGAACUGUGAGACAGGUGCUGCAUGGCUGUCGUCAGCUCGUGUUGUGAAAUGUUGGGUUAAGUCCCGCAACGAGCGCAACCCUUAUCCUUUGUUGCCAGCGGUCAGGCCGGGAACUCAAAGGAGACUGCCAGUGAUAAACUGGAGGAAGGUGGGGAUGACGUCAAGUCAUCAUGGCCCUUACGACCAGGGCUACACACGUGCUACAAUGGCAUAUACAAAGAGAAGCGACCUCGCGAGAGCAAGCGGACCUCAUAAAGUAUGUCGUAGUCCGGAUUGGAGUCUGCAACUCGACUCCAUGAAGUCGGAAUCGCUAGUAAUCGUAGAUCAGAAUGCUACGGUGAAUACGUUCCCGGGCCUUGUACACACCGCCCGUCACACCAUGGGAGUGGGUUGCAAAAGAAGUAGGUAGCUUAACCUUCGGGAGGGCGCUUACCACUUUGUGAUUCAUGACUGGGGUGAAGUCUAAAAG
rnacentral:rRNA from 1 species